AGACCUGUAGUUCAAUGGUUAGAACAAAUGCCUGAUGAGCAUUAGAUCUCAGUUCGAUUCUGGGUAGGUCUACCA
rnacentral:tRNA from 1 species